UACGAAGGGGGCUAGCGUUGUUCGGAAUUACUGGGCGUAAAGCGCACGCAGGCGGAUUGAUAAGUCAGGGGUGAAAUCCCGGGGCUCAACCUCGGAACUGCCUUUGAUACUGCGAGUCUUGAGUCCGAUAGAGGUGGGUGGAAUUCCUAGUGUAGAGGUGAAAUUCGUAGAUAUUAGGAAGACCACCAAAGGCGAAGGCAGCUCGCUGGGACGUGACUGACGCUGAGACGCGAAAGCGUGGGGAGCAAACAGG
rnacentral:rRNA from 1 species